AUUGAACGCUGGCGGCAGGCCUAACACAUGCAAGUCGAGCGAGCGGCGGACGGGUGAGUAAUGUAUGGGGACUGCCCGAUAGAGGGGGAUAACUACUGGAAACGGCGGCUAAUACCGCAUACUGUCGGAUAACCCAUAUGGGAUUAGCUAGUCGGUAAGGUAAUGGCCUACCUAGGCGACGAUCCCUAGCUGGUCUGAGAGGAUGAUAAGCCACACUGGGACUGAGACACGGCCCAGACUCGUACGGAGGCAGCAGUUAGGAAUAUUGGGAAAUGGGCGGUAGCCUGAACCAGCCAAGUAGCGUGAAGGAUGAAGGUCUAUGGGUCGUAGACUUCUUUUAUAUAAGAAUAGGUAUUUAAUUAAUAAGGAACGGCUAACUCCGUGCCAGCAGCCGCGGUAAUAC
rnacentral:rRNA from 1 species